GUGGGGAAUAUUGGACAAUGGGCGAAAGCCUGAUCCAGCCAUGCCGCGUGUGUGAAGAAGGUCUUCGGAUUGUAAAGCACUUUAAGUUGGGAGGAAGGGCAGUAAGUUAAUACCUUGCUGUUUUGACGUUACCGACAGAAUAAGCACCGGCUAACUUCGUGCCAGCAGCCGCGGUAAUACGAAGGGUGCAAGCGUUAAUCGGAAUUACUGGGCGUAAAGCGCGCGUAGGUGGUUUUGUAAGUUGGAAGUGAAAUCCCCGGGCUCAACCUGGGAACUGCUUUCAAAACUGCUGAGCUAGAGUACGGUAGAGGGUGGUGGAAUUUCCUGUGUAGCGGUGAAAUGCGUAGAUAUAGGAAGGAACACCAGUGGCGAAGGCGACCACCUGGACUGAUACUGACACUGAGGUGCGAAAGCGUGGGGAGCAAACAGGAUUAGAAACCCGUGUAGUCC
rnacentral:rRNA from 1 species